CCUACGGGAGGCAGCAGUGGGGGAUAUUGCACAAUGGGGGAAACCCUGAUGCAGCGACGCCGCGUGGGCGAAGAAGUAUUUCGGUAUGUAAAGCCCUAUCAGCAGGGAAGAAGAAAUGACGGUACCUGAGUAAGAAGCACCGGCUAAAUACGUGCCAGCAGCCGCGGUAAUACGGAUGGUGCAAGCGUUAUCCGGAUUUACUGGGUGUAAGGGGAGCGCAGGGGGGAAGGCAAGCCUGGUGUGAAAGCCCGCGGCCCAACCGCGGGACUGCAUUGGGAACUACCGGGCUGGAGUGCCGGAGAGGUAGGCGGAAUUCGUGGUGUAGCGGUGAAAUGCGUAGAUAUUAGGAGGAACACCAGUGGCGAAGGCAGCCUACUGAACGGUGACUGACGCUGAUGCUCGAAAGCGUGGGGAGCAAACAGGAUUAGAUACCCUGGUAGUC
rnacentral:rRNA from 1 species